rnacentral:rRNA from 1 species
AGCGAACGCUGGCGGCAUGCUUAACACAUGCAAGUCGCGCGGGUGGUUUCGGCCAUCAGCGGCGGACGGGUGGGUAUCGCGUAGGAAUGUAUCCCGAGGUGGGGGACAACCCUGGGAAACUGGGGCUAAUACCGCAUGGGGUCUGUGGGUCAAAGCCUUAGGGCGCCUUGGGAGCAGCCUGCGUCCGAUUAGGUAGUUGGUAGGGUAAUGGCCUACCAAGCCUGCGAUCGGUAGCUGGGCUGAGAGGACGGGCAGGCACACUGGGAGUGAGACCCGGCCGAGACUCCUACGGGAGGCAGCAGUGGGGAAUAGUGGAAAAUGGGCGCAAGCCUGAUCCAGCAAUGCCGGGUGGGUGAAGAAGGUCUUCGGAUUGUAAAGCCCUUUCGGCGGGGACGAUGAUGACGGUACCCGCAGAAGAAGCCCCGGCUAACUUCGUG